AUGAGGGUCUGUCAUUUGGACUUUGUGACCUUGUUCUCUCAUCAUUUCUACCCCUGUAUUGUUUUCAGUUACCCCGUUAAGCUGAGGAGCCGCCACCGUGGCUGGGGACGCAGCCUCCCGGUCAGUGCGGACCGAGUUGAGGGGCACCAAGGUGUCUACGGUGCCCUCUGCCACUGCCACCAGGCCGAGUUCACCAGCAGUGCAGGCUGACAGCAAAUCCAGGGGGCCGUGGCGUCUUGUGUCCUCCGGGGGCCUUGCCUGUUAGGGGAAGUGGGUAGUGAGUUAGUCUGUUUGUGUUUUUGUAUGUUGACCCUGAGGAGAAGGGGAGGAGGAGAGACACGAGUGGCACCGUGCGGGGGGACCGAUGAUGAAAGUCUCUCCCUUAUGGGCUGUUGGGUCCCCCCUCUGCCAGGGAGGGGCCCCGGUGCCCGACCUCGAGACUGAGGUACCCCAUUCAGCACAACACUACUGUAGGUUGGUGUUUUGUUUGUGUUGUGUGUGCCCUGUACUGGGCUCAACCUGUAGUCCCGUGUGGGUGUGUGUGGUUGAUUGAUGUUUAGGCUGUGUGUGGUGUUUUCAACUUGUGUGUGUGUUUCUGUCUUUUUUAAUCUGUUUUUUCUGUUAGUAGGCUGGGGGCGCCCACCAGUGGAGAGUUCAGGGAAGUCCAGGGCUCCUGCUGCGGCAGUGUGUCUCUCCUCCCUGUGCUGUAUUAAGUUCUCUGUAACACAUUAAAUCCACAGGCUGUGAAAGAGAAUGGUUAGUUCGGGGAAAGCAAGGAUGAGAAGGGUUAGAGUCAGUGAAAUGAAGGGAGAAAUUGCCAAUAUCUGAUUGACAAGGGCAUGAAGAGGGAGAGGGGGUGCCUGGAACAGAACCUGUAUCCAAAAGGUAACCUUCAGCUUGUUUGAUUGUGUCUGGGUCUAGCCUAUCCCCAUAGCGUCUGUGGGCCCAGUUAGCAGCUACUUUUAGUGCUAAUUGGUCGCCUGGUGUAGUUAGCAGUGUGGCUAGUGUGUCUGUGUAGUGUUUAUGUAGGAUAUGCAUGUUCUCCUUCAUCCAAUUGUUUGUGUUUUGUUUUACUGACUGUGUUGUUUCUAUAGAUGGUGAGGCUGGUUUUAUAAAAAGAGCCAGUUUGGUCACCUGCCUCAUCGUUCCCUGGGGGAAGUUUCCAGUUUGGAUUGCUUCCCUAACAAUAUUCAGGUGAUGUAUGAUUUGUAAUAAUUUGAAAUGAUGUUUGGCUAGUGCUCUGGUGUUAAUAUCCAGCGCCUGUCUGGUGGGUGAACUG
rnacentral:lncRNA from 1 species